rnacentral:rRNA from 1 species
GACGAACGCUGGCGGCGUGCUUAACACAUGCAAGCCGAACGGAAAGGCCCUGCUUUUGUGGGGUGCUCGAGUGGCGAACGGGUGAGUAACACGUGAGUAACCUGCCCUUGACUUUGGGAUAACUUCAGGAAACUGGGGCUAAUACCGGAUAGGAGCUCCUGCUGCAUGGUGGGGGUUGGAAAGUUUCGGCGGUUGGGGAUGGACUCGCGGCUUAUCAGCUUGUUGGUGGGGUAGUGGCUUACCAAGGCUUUGACGGGUAGCCGGCCUGAGAGGGUGACCGGCCACAUUGGGACUGAGAUACGGCCCAGACUCCUACGGGAGGCUGCAGUGGGGAAUAUUGCACAAUGGGCGGAAGCCUGAUGCAGCAACGCCGCGUGCGGGAUGACGGCCUUCGGGUUGUAAACCGCUUUCGCCUGUGACGAAGCGUGAGUGACGGUAAUGGGUAAAGAAGCACCGGCUAACUACGUG